rnacentral:rRNA from 1 species
AGCGAACGCUGGCGGCAGGCUUAACACAUGCAAGUCGAGCGGGCGUAGCAAUACGUCAGCGGCAGACGGGUGAGUAACGCGUGGGAACGUACCUUUUGGUUCGGAACAACACAGGGAAACUUGUGCUAAUACCGGAUAAGCCCUUACGGGGAAAGAUUUAUCGCCGAAAGAUCGGCCCCCGUCUGAUUAGCUAGUCGGUGAGGUAACGGCUCACCAAGGCGACGAUCAGUAGCUGGUCUGAGAGGAUGAUCAGCCACAUUGGGACUGAGACACGGCCCAAACUCCUACGGGAGGCAGCAGUGGGGAAUAUUGGACAAUGGGGGCAACCCUGAUCCAGCCAUGCCGCGUGAGUGAUGAAGGCCCUAGGGUUGUAAAGCUCUUUUGUGCGGGAAGAUAAUGACGGUACCGCAAGAAUAAGCCCCGGCUAACUUCGUG